GAGACACCCUUUUGGAGCAGGACUUGCUUCAGAGGGGCUUUGGCGCUCACUGAAUCUGCCCCUUGAGUGUGUUGCU
rnacentral:pre_miRNA from 1 species